CCUUCCGUAGGUGAACCUGCGGAGGGAUCAUUA
rnacentral:rRNA from 3 species